AACAAAGUUGAAUGUACAGUUCUCAAUGUAGAACAUCAAAUUGAAAAACAGGAACAUCAUAAUGCAUCACCGGAAAAUGAAACUAAAAGACCACAAAUAAUUUAUUCUAUUCAGAGUACAAUUCCAACUUGUACUCAAUUUACCUCAGAAUCUUUUUUCUUCAUUAUAAGGCUAUGUAUGAUCACGGAUGAGAAGAGGAAGGAUAAUGUACCAUUCACUCUGUAAAAGUAUACAUAUUAUCUACUCUACCUUGUUUGGUAAAGGAUUUGUAAUUUAGUUCCAUACUCUAAUUUUGAGUCUUAGGUUUUGCUAAGGUUACUUAAGUCUUUUCAGCACUCCAAAGCUCCCAAUUCGGUUUGGGAAGCUCCCAUUUGGAUAUCUGUUGUUGAUUCUCAAC
rnacentral:lncRNA from 1 species